rnacentral:rRNA from 1 species
AGCAGCCGCGGUAAUUCCAGCUCCAAUAGCGUAUAUUAAAGUUGUUGCAGUUAAAAAGCUCGUAGUUGAAUUUCGGGGUUAGUAGGUCGGUCAUGCCUCAGGUAUGCACUGGUCUCACUGAUUCCUCCUUCCUGAUGAGCCGUAAUGCCAUUAAUUUGGUGUUGCGGGGAAUCUGGACUGUUACUUUGAAAAAUUAGAGUGUUUAAAGCAGGCUAACGCUUGAAUACAUUAGCAUGGAAUAAUGGAAUAGGACGUUCGAUCCUAUUUUGUUGGUUUCUAGGAUUGACGUAAUGAUUAAUAGGGAUAGUUGGGGGCAUUAGUAUUCAAUUGUCAGAGGUGAAAUUCUUGGAUUUAUUGAAGACUAACUACUGCGAAAGCAUUUGCCAAGGAUGUUUUCAUUAAUCAAGAACGAAAGUUAGGGGAUCGAAGACGAUCAGAUACCGUCGUAGU